rnacentral:rRNA from 1 species
UACGGGGGGGCAAGCGUUGUUCGGAAUUACUGGGCGUAAAGGGCUCGUAGGCGGCCAACUAAGUCAGACGUGAAAUCCCUCAGCUUAACUGGGGAACUGCGUCUGAUACUGGAUGGCUUGAGAUUGGGAGAGGGACGCGGAAUUCCAGGUGUAGCGGUGAAAUGCGUAGAUAUCUGGAGGAACACCGGUGGCGAAGGCGGCGUCCUGGACCAACACUGACACUGAGGAGCGAAAGCCAGGGGAGCAAACGGG